CAUCGUAACUUGCUUCAAAAUAAAUUAACACCAUUAAAUUUGCCACCUCCAUGAUUCCCCAAAUUAACGAAUGCCCACAACUGAAUCGAGCCAAUCAGAGCUUCCACUAUCCACCGUCUAUAAAACUAACACCAAUGCUUGAUUUCAGCGGUUUUAAUAUCAAGGAACGGCAGGCGUCCACUGCUGUCCUUCAGAAACUACUCUUUCUACCUUCAGAACAAUCGUCUGACGAUGUUAUGGUACUGCAGUCAGCGGCGCACCCUGGGCUGCAAGUCGUGGCUGCGGACUACUCAGAUGCAGCCCGAGACCGUCACCGGGGCCUCCCUUGUGCACAACCACGACCCUACGUAUACUCGGACGUGCGAGGAUUUCUGGCUCCCUACCAUUAAACGGUUUCGGAAGUAGAGAUAUAGGUGUGAAGUUAUGCUAGUCGCAGUAGACCCACCAGCUUCAUCAUCAUUGCAACCCCUCAUCUCCUCACUGCUGAGGCUCGGGUCUCUUUCCAAUUGAGGAAGGGUUUUAGGCCUAGUCCACCACGUUCGCUUAGUGUGGGUUGGUGUACCCAAAAGCUUCCCUAUAUGAUCUUGUGGACGAUCUCUGAGAUAUGCUCUUGAUCGUGUGGGUACAAAAUAUAGGGCACAGUCAACAUUCCUAUACAUAGUAUGGAUAUUUGUUAUUAUUUAAAAGAUUGUUUAGUGGUGUUUUAAUUGAAGUUCCUUGUUGCCAUGUGAUAAAUAUGUAAUAUUAGAUUACUUUGUGAAAACUUUUAAAGCUUAAACUUACCCAUAAAUGUACAACAGCUACACGCACCUAGUCGCUUUUGAAUAGGUACGCAAAGGGCACUCACGAAUGUUAGCAACUCUUUACUUAUUGCAGUGGUAGUCUCACUGAAAAUUUGUUAAAACAACAUGGUGAAUUUUUAGUUAAUCGCAAUGUACACAUGUAUUAUCUAUUAUGAUGAAUAAUAUAUAUUUUAAAACAAUGAAAGCUUGAUUUGCCCUCUUUUUGUUUUUUCGUCAUAAUGUAGAAGUAUCAAUCAGAUCCACUAAGCACACAAGAACUCUAUAGAGACUGCUAUAGUAUAUACCUACUGAUAAUUUAAAUCCACGCAAAACAGUUCACAUAUAAUUCUUGUGUGCCUGAUUGAUAACAUACGCCAACUUAAUAAUAGUACAAAAGGUAUCAUAGCCUAUAACCCAGACAACCUUCGAAAUUCUUAUUAAUCAUAAUUUCAUUUUCAAGGUGUAUUAAUAUCUACAAGCCAAAAAAAGAAACCACUAUUGUUAUACAAAAACUACACAUUCUUCAUUAAAACUGAGCGGAGUUCACUGCUGUGGUACUGCUCAGGCCGCGCUGCGGGCUGCCGGGCCUCGCUGAGGUCAGAGCGAGACAACCCGACACUGGUGACGAGCGAGUCACUGACACACAACCACGACCCGCCCAGCUACGUACAGACGAAAAACGGAACGUGGGUCAAGGUGUAUUAAUAAAGACAACUAACGGUAAACGUCCACUGCUGUUGUACAAAAACUACACAUUCUUCAUUAAAGUGGAGUCGUACACGCUACUGUGGUACUGCUCGAGCCGCAAGGCGGGCUGCCGGGCGUCGCUGAAGUCAGUGAGAGACAACCCGACACUGGUGACGAGCGAGUCACUGCAACACAACCACGACCCGCCGAACUACCAUCAGACUAAAAACGGAACGUGGGUCAAGAUUUAAAAUAAACUCAUAUGAAUAUUGGAAAUACCUGUGUAAUUUUUUCUGUAAAUAAAAUUUAUGUUUCCUGUCAUGAUUGAGGUUUGAUGAUCGAUGAUCUCUCUGAAGUAUACAUUAUGUGUGCGGAAGAAAAUUGACGCCUGUCUUUCUUGUUAUUAUCUGCUAUCACAAUUAACAAUUUUAUUUAUUUUGUUGGUUUUUAGGCAUACUUAUAAAAACAAGGACUGGUCUACGCCCAAUGCUAAUGUACAAAAACUAUACGUUCAAACUUCACAACCACGGGCAACGGUUGAAGUGGCUUUGGUAUUGCUCGUCUAGAUAUGCUGGGUGCAGAGCGUACGUGAGUUCCAAUAGAGACAAUCCGUCCCUGGUGACGAGCUCGUCACUGGAUCACAACCACGCGCCGCCACAGUACCACCGGACAGCGGAUGGACGGUGGGUCAAGAUUUAAGGGCCAUGUCCAUAAUGACUAGGCUUUAGGCACUAUAAGGACCCACUUUCGCAACCUACUACAUACGAAUGACACAAAAACGAGUGAGAUUCCAUUGGACCCAAAAUUUUACUUGUAUCAACAUAAUUUUGCUCUACACAAGUAUAGGUACAUAAUUAUAAACAGAUUAAUAAAUAGUUUGUUAAGUUUUCUCGAUAAAUAAAAAUAUUAAUGUUUUA